rnacentral:lncRNA from 1 species
GGAAUUUCUAUCCGUUACCGAAAGGACACAGAGAUCAGAGUCACUGUCAGUGUCCAAAGUACCGUCAUGUGCCGAAGUGCUGGCUUCAGGCUGUGCAGUUAAAGCAGUAAAUGAGACAACCCGAGCAGUUGGCUGGUUCACCUUCUACAAUGAGGUAAGGAGGCAAAAUUAUCAUGAGAGAUACAAUUGUAUGAAAAUUGAAAAGUGUGCAGUUCAAAG